rnacentral:rRNA from 1 species
GACGAACGCUGGCGGCGUGCCUAACACAUGCAAGUCAAGGGGAAACGGGUAGCAAUAUCCGGAGUACACUGGCGCACGGGUGAGUAACGCGUAGGUAACCUGCCCAUAGGACGGGGAUAAUUCAGCGAAAGCUGGACUAAUACCCGAUGUUGAGACGUCAUCACAUGGUGGUGUCUUGAAAAGCCCGCAAGGGUGCCGAUGGAUGGGCCUGCGUCCCAUUAGGUAGUUGGUAGGGUAACGGCCUACCAAGCCUGCGAUGGGUAGCUGGUCUGAGAGGAUGAUCAGCCACACUGGAACUGAGACACGGUCCAGACUCC